UUCCAAAUGUUUAGUCAGAAUCUCCUUUCUUGUAACUUGAAGCCAUUGGUUCGAAUCCUACCCUCCAGAGCAGGAGAAAACAAGCAUGCUCCCUCCUCCUUAAGAUAUUUGAAGAUGGCUAUCAUAUCUCCUCUCAGUCUCCUCUUUUCCAGGCUAAACAUACCCAGCUCCUUCAAGC
rnacentral:sRNA from 1 species